ensembl:lncRNA
AAAAAAUGGAAGAUGGGGUUAGGAGGGAAUGAAGGCGGCUGAGACUGGAUCUGGAUUCUAAGAGGGUGGGCUGGGUUCUGAGAGGGUCUUGAACUGCAAGAGGAGGAAGGAAAGUAGUUCACAGCUGAGGGAGAGAGAGAGACCCCCUACCUCCCAGAAGGAUAUUCUCCAUGCUACCCAAUCCUGGAAGGGUCUUCCCCGGUGGCCCAGCUGGUAAAGAAUCCACUGCAAUGCAGGAGACCUGGGUUUGAUCCCUGGGUUGGGAAGAUCCCCUGAAGAAGGGAACAGCUACCCACUCUAGAAUUCUAGCCUGCAGAACUGUAUAGUCCAUGGGAUGGCAAAGAGUGGGACACAACUGAGCGACUUUCACUUUCACGCGAUCCUGGAAGGGUCUCUUUAGCUAAAGAUUGGAAGAGGGACCUUGCCUUAAGAGAAGAGACAAUUCAAGUCCAUUGUUCCAGUUUCCUAGAUUUCUGUGUGUGUGUGAGUGUGGAGGGCAGGCAGAGAGAGAGGUAUUCCUGGGAACCCAUUUCUCUGACAGUAAUUCCUAGGAGACCUCGUGCCAGAUGGGUAGUGCUGGCUUCUGCCCACGUGAUGGUGAUGGUGAGGGCAGGGGAUGGCGGAGGAAGGGACCUCAGAGAUGGGGACAGAUGUUUGAGGAUUUCAGAAUCCCAAAUCCAGAGAGGGUGAAUGACUUGCCCAAGGUCACACAGCAAGGGCACCAGCAUUAGAAACAGAAUCUCCUGGGCCCUCCCCGGUCCUUUCAUUACUGUGUACCACCCCCUUGCUUUACAAAGAGCCUAGUGUUGCCACCAAAAGAGCAGAAUUACCUCAUUUUUGAAAGGCGUUAUGAAUUCAGUUCUAUUAUGUGGGAUGGGGCACGGAGGUUGUGAGCAGGCAUGACAGUAUAAUUCAUGUCCCACUUCUAUUUAUCUUUGCUGGGUUUUGUGUAUCUUUGGAACCAGCCUUAAAUCAUUAUUGGAACAAAGUAGGGGGAAAAAUAAUAAUAUAUAAUUACAAAUGAGGACUAGACCGUACGAAUCCUAUUAAUUGCCUUCCCUGCAAUGCUUAGUUUGGGUAUUUUCAGAAUAAUUAAAAGAUUAGGCUUUCAUUGGUGGAGGUGGUGGUUUAGCACCGAACCCUAAACAGUGGCAUCACCUACUCCAGGGAUGGCCCUGUGCCACCUGCCGCCUGGGACACUUUCUGAGUAACACCAAGGGCUGUGCUCCAAUCUCUGAGUAUUUACUCUCUGCUGAGGAGAAACUCUGGCAACGGCUGUAAAAUAAAGCCCAAAGCCAGGGACAAGCUGAAGAGAGGAAAUAGUCGGUGGCGCAUUAAUCAUCGUCGGCAGACCUAGAGCAGAGGACAGAGGCCGGUUUGAAGAAAGACAGAACCUAAAUUAUCUUGGAGAUUGAUCUUCCCUCCUCCACGCUCCCUGUGCCAGCAAGUAGGUCAGGAAGGUCCUGGUGCAGCCACUGGCAUUGAACUGGCGAGGGCACCCGCCGACUGCCCAGGGCAGGGAUGACCGCACUUUGUCAUGGGCAUCAUCGCAGAGCUUCGUCCGCCCUCAACGGGCUGUGUCUUGGAAAGUGACAGCACGCAAGAGGUUUCUCAGAGGGACCUUUGGGACAAAUUCACUGCUGUCAUGUCCUCAAGGGACAUCAAUGACACGCCAGGAUGCAGUGAAGGCCAUUUCCUUUAGAUCCAAAGAAAGUACCCAGUGACGAUGCAGCUGAGAAAGUGGCUGAAUAAUGACGCUGCCUGGAGAAUCGGAAAGACUGCAUGGAUCAGACUGGAGGCUCUAGGAACCUGGCGAUGAGUGUCCAGGCAAGCAGGCAAGUUAAUUAUCCUCUAAGCCUCAGUUUCCUCAUCUGUGAAAUGGGGAUACUAAUAGUAGCUUUAUUAUAGGGUAGUUUUCUAUAUGAAAUGAGAUUAGUAAUGCCUAUAAAAUGUUUAGAACUGUGCCUGGUGGAUAGUGAGCCCUUUAUAAAUCCUAGUGAUUGUUCUUCUAAGAGCUGAAAAAGGCUAGUGGCCCUUCUCUUCCCCAAAUUCAAGGGCUUCAGAAAGGCUGUAUAGUGGGUCUUUCCGAUAUCUUCUCUUCGCUGAUUUAGCUCUCUCCAUGGUGAGAGCAGAGUAACUUUAUCAAAGCCCAAAGCCAGGAAAAACAUUGCCCGGAAGUCUGAAAGGGCAAGGUGGUUUAUAAUCUCGCCAAACAGCCAUAAUUUAGUAUUGGUGGAGGUGCAGAAACUUUCCAAACAGAGCUAGACGAUCUGCUUGUGCUGGGGAGGAAGUCCUUUCCUUGAACUUGGCCCCACACUUUUUUAAAGCUUACCUGGGAGGAAGGCAAGCCUUCAUGCAGAUGAUAAAUUCUUAGGUUCCCAUGGUGAACACAACAGAUCAGCCAAGACCUGCUGAUCCCAGAAAGAAACAAACUCUUUUUGUGAUAUUUACUGCAGUUGGCUAGUUGUCAAGACGACCCCAGAAGGAAAGGAUUGGAGAAACUAUGACGGAUCUGAUCCCAGAAAUAGUUUAAGGUUUGGGGGAAUGGUACAUAUGCGUGGGAGACAAACAAUUACUCUACUGGAAAGAGCCCAGCUUUAGAGUCAGAUAAAAUCCCUGUCACCAGCCUCAGUUAGACUAGCUGUGUAUUUGGGGAGGGGAAUCGUGAGCUUCAGUUUCCUCAGUUCUAAAAUGCGAAUCGUCAUACCUAACCCAUAGGGUUAUUUGGGGGGCUUCCUGAGGUAACUUGGGAAUGUACCUAAUAAAGUAACUGAAAAGAGUGAAGGCUCUCAAUAAACAGUAGCUAUUUUUAUCAUGGAGGAAUUUAUUCAUCCUUUAAAAAGACUCGCUUUGCUAGCAAAUGCAUCAUAACGACACGGUUACCGUUCAAAGUCAAAUGUCAUGGCGUUGAGAGAAAAAUUCCUGACUGCCCAGGCUCACCUGUGACCAGAAGCCACUCUUCUGGUUCCCCAGGGUCUGGAGCAGAAAGGUGGUCUCAAGCUUUUGCCACCAAGAAAGGACCCAAUGGUUGGCAACAGGCAGAAUACACUAAAGAGGUUCUGGUUUGGGCUGUGUCUUGCUCUUGGGCUAGGAGGUCCCUCUCUCAUCUCUGGGGGGGUUAUACUCAGUGGUAUUUAGCAAGGAUAGGCCUGCCCCCUAUGUGCACACCCAGGAACUCUGGCAAAGACCUGUAUACCUGCAUCCCACGCUCCCAUGAGCCUUUCCGGGUUGUAACAGCGCCUCCAGCCUCAUGCUUGACUUUCCUAAUUUCUGUGGUCUUGAUCCUCACCCGAACUACAGAGCUACCCACCACAAGCCCAGACACUCCGCUUUUCCUGGCACACACGCCCACAACUGUCUUGCUCUCUUGGAUUUGGUUUCUUCUCUGGCCAUGAUAGAGAAUAUUGAUUAGAGUUAGCAAAAUGUAUGAAGCAUUCAGUGUUUCAUAUACUGUUCAUCAAGUAUUUUAGGAGGAAUUCCCUGG